UUGUGCCUGGCUCCCUGUAUGCCACACAUAUGGCUGAAUCUUUGUGUUGAUUUUGUCAUUGUGGGUGGCGUGCGAGGAGCCAAGCAUAC
rnacentral:pre_miRNA from 1 species